UCCAAGAGCCAGCAUUAAAGGAACUCGCUGACCGUCUUCGGAUAUCCAAUAACGAAAUAGUUUCGGUGGUCGCAGCAGUGCUGCGCUCUGCUAACCCGCCAGGCGAUCUGUCUGAGUUCCGGAUCUCGAGAGAGACUGCGAGACGGGCGCGAGCUUCACACCGUCGUCAGGUAGCUGCCACACAAAGGGAAGCCUUCACGCCUCCACCACAUGCAGUGGUGCACUGGGAUGGUAAGCUGGUUAAGAACGUCGUGGGAGAAGAAGAACACCGACAGGCCAUCUUCAUCUCAGGGCGCGGCCAUG
rnacentral:lncRNA from 1 species